rnacentral:rRNA from 1 species
UACGGAGGGUGCAAGCGUUAUCCGGAUUCACUGGGUUUAAAGGGGGCGUAGGAGGGCAGGUAAGUCAGUGGUGAAAUCCUAGAGCUUAACUCUAGAACUGCCGUUGAUACUAUCUGUCUUGAAUAUUGUGGAGGUGAGCGGAAUAUGUCAUGUAGCGGUGAAAUGCUUAGAUAUGACAUAGAACACCAAUUGCGAAGGCAGCUCGCUACACAUAUAUUGACUCUGAGGCACGAAAGCGUGGGGAUCAAACAGG